GACGAACGCUGGCGGCGUGCUUAACACAUGCAAGUCGAACGAAGAGCGAUGGAAGCUUGCUUCUAUCAAUCUUAGUGGCGAACGGGUGAGUAACGCGUAAUCAACCUGCCCUUCAGAGGGGGAUAACAGUUGGAAACGACUGCUAAUACCGCAUACGAUCUAAUCUCGGCAUCGAGGAUAGAUGAAAGGUGGCCUCUACAUGUAAGCUAUCACUGAAGGAGGGGAUUGCGUCUGAUUAGCUAGUUGGAGGGGUAACGGCCCACCAAGGCGAUGAUCAGUAGCCGGUCUGAGAGGAUGAACGGCCACAUUGGGACUGAGACACGGCCCAGACUCCUACGGGAGGCAGCAGUGGGGAAUCUUCCGCAAUGGACGAAAGUCUGACGGAGCAACGCCGCGUGAGUGAUGACGGCCUUCGGGUUGUAAAGCUCUGUUAAUCGGGACGAAAGGCCUUCUUGCGAAUAGUGAGAAGG
rnacentral:rRNA from 1 species